GAUAAAGAGGUUAUAAAAGGCUUUUCUUUAAUAAGUCUACCUAAAAGGCAGAAAAUCUGUUUUGUUAGAAUAACUUCCUAUGUUCAGAAAGACUGAUGUCCCUCUAUUAAGAUUUUUUGACUGUUUUAACUAUUUGCCCUUGACUGUUUUGUUGUCACUUUGAUUGAAUAGAAUGAGCGUUGUUUCCUAUUUGGCCAAGUGUUUUAAAACCUUUUGAUAUUUUUGACAAACUCCCCCCGACCAAAAUACUCAAAUCCUGAAUAAAGGCUUUCUUUUGACCUGGAAGAAGGAAGAGAAUUUCUCUGAGGAUUUUCAGAGGCCCCCUGAGAUUUCUCAGAGAAAUUUGUUCUCUCUUCCUAUAAAGGGGGGGAUACUAAUUAGGCUUGUUUGGUGCUAAAUUGCAUGGGAAGCAUUGUCAAGUAAAUGACGAUAAACCUUCUUAGGUUAUAUUGUGUAGGUAAAGAUUAUUCACUAUUUUAACCCUGCUACUUUGCUUCCAACAUCACAAGAGGAGAACACCACGACUGCAUACUAUUAUUUAAUUGGUUUACAGAUGGGUCUUACUUAAAUGAUAAACAAGGAUGUUAUCAAGCUAGAUAUGCUGUCCAGCCUCAAGAAUGCCUGCUACUUUCUAUUAACUCUGCUGACCCACUAAAAGGUUUCCUUCUACAGACUCAAGAAAUCACCGUGGAAGAGAAGAAAUAAAGGUGGCAACAAAGGGGGAAAGCAAUACUUUUGGAAACAUUCUCCCACAGCAGCUCAUAAAGCCUAUACUCAUGCUACAUGCCCAAAAUAUAAUCUAGCGAAGCUAUUUCAUGAGUCACAAGACCACUUUCCCCUUCCUAAGGGACCUUUUGAGGUAUGACAAUUGGACUUUGUCGGAAUGCCACCAUCUCAAAGAUAAAUAUCUUGGAAUGAUCUGUGUGUUCUCAUGUUGGGUUGAGGCCUUUCCUUCAGAAGAGUGAUGGCUUUAGGUAAAUUAUUAUUGAAAAGGUUAAUUCUUGUUUGAGGAAUUCCUACUGAGUUACACAGUGACCGGGAACUCAUUUUACCAGACAAAUAAUUAAAUCUGUUUGUAAUAUUUGGCCAAUAGUGCAGCAUUUCCACUGCAGUUACCAUCCCUGAUCCUCAGGAUUGGUGGGAAGAGCUAACAGCACCAUCAAAACUUAAUUGGCAAAGCUUUCAGAGGCACUUAAGCUCUCUCAUGGCCAAAAGCUUUUCAAUCUUGGAUCUACACCGUUUGGUAAGCAUUGGCUGUCUCCUUUCGAGAUAAUGACUGGAUGGCCUAUGAAAUUAGAUGAGGAAAUAUAAGAACCAACUUUGCUUAAGGAAGAUAUUACAUUGUUCUCAGGGUCCCAUUGAGAUGCUGAAAUGAAAGGUUGGUAGCUGAUUCUUUUCACAGAGCUCCCAGACCUUAAGGAUCAUGGACUAUAACCUGGAGAAUUUAUUUAUGAAAAGAGGAAUCAAAUGAAAGACUCUUUGCGGCCUGUUGGAAAGGACUACACCAGGAUGAGGAGAAGAUGGCAUCUGUGUAGACAGGUGUCCCAAGACUCCAGACCAGGGGAAAUAAUACAGGCUUGCAGAGAGUAGGCUCCCAGGCUCCUUCUUAAGGCUUUACCAAGCAACCUGAAGCCAUGUUCCGAGCAGCCAUCUUGCUCCAAGUGCCGUUCUGGUCUCUGAGGACACAGUAGGAUAUAUCCGCCUCUAUCCAGUUGUAUGGGGUUUCCAGUGAAGACGCAGAUCCAGGUAGCAGUAUUGCCUACACUUUCAGAAAAUUUGAAAGUCCCACCCAGGGACUUCAGCAUCCUUCUUCCCUACUCUCCAUCCUCAAAUUACAGCCACUGCACGUGUGCACACAUGCACAGGAGCCUUCGCUUCUUGUCAAUCACCGUGCUUCUCUUCCUUGUCACGUACCAUGUAAAGCUCAGUGUGCAGCUGGAGAAUACAAAAAGAAAGCUGCAGUGUUGGCCUGGAGAACUCAUGCCCAGGUGGCUUCGGGGAAAUCAAAUCAUCUCUUCCACAACCUCUCAAAUUCCUGUAUCAAAGUAAAAUGCAUCAAGAAUGGUGGCAGUAUUUCAGCUAACAUUUAAAAGAAUAAAUUAGCAUACCACAAUCAGAUUUUUCAUAUAGCUGCCCUC
ensembl:lncRNA